rnacentral:rRNA from 1 species
GAAAUCUUCGGAAUCUUCCGUAGGGAGACGGAUCUGAUGCACCAACGCCGCGAGAGUGAACAAAGCUUUCAGAUCUGAUGGCUCUGAUGAAGGGGAAUAAAAAUAACGGGAGUAACUGUGCAUUAUUUGCCGGUAAUCAACCCGAAAGACUACGUGAACUACGUGCCGGCAAUCCCGGUGAGACAUAAGUG